UUAACUAAGAGUUUGAUCCUGGCUCAGGAUGAACGCUGGCGGCGUGUCUUAGGCAUGCAAGUCGAAUGUCAAUUUUUUAAAUUGGCAUGGCGAACGGGUGAGUAACACAUUGGUAACCUACCCCAAUCACGGGCAUAACCUAUCGAAAGAUUGGAUAAUUCCCGAUGGUCUCCCAGAUGUAAAAUCAUGGGAGUAAAGGUAUAGUUUAUUCUGUACCGGAUUGAGAGGGGCCUAUGUCUGAUUAGCUUGUUGGUGGGGUAAUGGCCCACCAAGGCGACAAUCAGUAGCGGGGAUGGAAGUCUGAUCCGCCUCACUGGGACUGAGAUACUGCCCAGACUCCUACGGGAGGCUGCAGUCGAGAAUCUUCCUCAAUGGCCGCAAGGCUGAAGGAGCGACGCCGCGUGCUUGAAGAAGCCCCUCGGGGUGUAAAGAGCUUUUCUCUGGGAAGAAACUUCGGUUGACGGUACCAGAGGAAUAAGGACCUCCUAAUUUCGUGCCAGCAGGAGCGGUAAUACGAAAGGUCCAAGCGUUAUCCGGAUUUAUUGGGCGUAAAGCGUCCGCAGGCCGUAGAAUAAGUUUUUGGUUAAAUUCUCCGACUCAAUCGGAGAGCUGCUAAAAAAACUGUUCUGCUAGAGGGUGGGAGAGGCGAGUGGAAUGGCUGGUGUAGGAGUCAAAUCCGUUAAUAUCAGCCAGAACACCAAAUGCGAAGGCAGCUCGCUAGAACACUCCUGACGCUCAUGGACGAAAGCUAGGGGAGAGAAGCGGAUUAGAUACCCGCGUAUUCCUAGCCGUAAACGAUGGAUACUUGACAUUGGUAGUUUCGACCCUAUCAGUGUCGUUCUAAAUAAGCUAACGCCUUAAGUAUCCCGCCUGGGUAGUACGAGCGCAAGCUUAAAACUCAAAGGAAUAGACGGGGGCCCGCACAAGCGGUGGAGCAUGUGGUUUAAUUCGAUAAUAAGCGAGGAACCUUACCAGGACUUGACAUCCGGCCUAUACUUGACCUUAAUCGGACAAGUUUAACGGCCGUGACAGGUGCUGCAUGGUUGUCGUCAGCAUGUGCUGUGAAGUGCACCGUUAAUUCGGGUAACAUGCGCAACCCUCAUCCUGAUUUAUUUUUCAUCAGGAAACUGCCUCCGACAAGGAGGAGGAAGGCGGGGAUGACGUCAAAUCAGCAUGGUCCUUACGUCCUGGGCUACACACGUGCUACAAUGGCCAUUACAAUGAGUUGCCAAGCCGCAAGGCGGAGCUAAUCUCAUCAAAAGUGGCCUCAGUUCAGAUUGAGGUCUGCAAUUCGACCUCAUGAAGUCGGAAUCGCUAGUAAACGCGGAUCAGCCUCGCCGCGUUGAAUACGUUCUCGGGCCUUGUACUCACCGCCCGUCACGUCAAGGGAGCCGGUAGUACCCAAACUCCCCCGAUCGGGGGGGAAAGGUAAGAUUGGUAACAGGGACGAAGUCGUAACAAGGCAUCCGUAGCGGAAGCUGUGGAUGGAUCACCUCCUUU
rfam:Candidatus Kuenenbacteria bacterium CG1_02_38_13 cg1_0.2_scaffold_2184_c, whole genome shotgun sequence.